GACGUAGGGGGCGAGCGUUGUCCGGAUUUAUUGGGCGUAAAGAGCUCGUAGGCGGCUCAGUAAGUCAGGUGUGAAAACUCCAGGCUCAACCUGGAGACGCCACUUGAUACUGCUGUGGCUAGAGUCCGGUAGGGGAGCAUGGAAUUCCUGGUGUAGCGGUGAAAUGCGCAGAUAUCAGGAGGAACACCAGUGGCGAAGGCGGUGCUCUGGGCCGGAACUGACGCUGAGGAGCGAAAGCGUGGGGAGCAAACAGG
rnacentral:rRNA from 1 species